rnacentral:rRNA from 1 species
GACGAACGCUGGCGGCGUGCUUAAUACAUGCAAGUCAACGAUUUUUAAGAUAGCAAUAUUUUAAAGAUAGUGGCGCACGGGUGAGUAACACGUAGAUAAUCUGCCUUUAGGUCUGACAUAACUCGUCGAAAGACGGGCUAAUAUCAGAUAAACAAUAACUCGGCAUCGAGAAAUUGUCAAAGCUUCGGCGCCCAAAGAUGAGUCUGCGGGACCAUUAGGUAGUUGGUGGAUUUAACAGCCCACCAAGCCAACGAUGGAUAGCUGGUCUGAGAGGAUGAUCAGCCACACUGGAACUGAGACACGGUCCAGACUCCUACGGGAGGCAG